rnacentral:tRNA from 1 species
GCUCCCGUGGCGGAAUAGGUAGACGCACUCAGUUGAGCGCUGAGUUACUUGUGUUGCAGGUUCGACCCCUGUCGGGAGUA